rnacentral:rRNA from 1 species
UCGGAUGAAUCACGCUACACCUUAUUUUGCACUGAUGGAAGACGUCGAAUUUGGCGAGAACCUCCUGAAGCAUGAAUCUAUCUUGCCUUACUCGAACUGUGCAAGGGUCUGGUGGGAUUAUGAUGAUAUGGGGCAUGUUCUGCUGGCAUGGAAGUGGUGCCCGGACCUCGUGUCCGUAUUAUGUAGUGACUCUGUAUAACUUUGGGCUGAUCGCACGGGCUCGUCCCGGCGACGUAUCUUUCAGGUGUCUGCCUUUAUCAACUGUCGAUGGUAGGUUACGCGCCUAUCAUGGUCGUAAAGGGUGAUGGGGAAUCAUGGUUCGAUUCUG